UACGGAGGGGGCUAGCGUUGUUCGGAAUUACUGGGCGUAAAGCGCACGUAGGCGGCUUUGUAAGUUAGAGGUGAAAGCCCAGGGCUCAACCCUGGAAUUGCCUUUGAUACUGGCUAUCUUGAGCUCGGGAGAGGUGAGUGGAACUCCGAGUGUAGAGGUGAAAUUCGUAGAUAUUCGGAAGAACACCAGUGGCGAAGGCGACUCACUGGCCCGAUACUGACGCUGAGGCGCGAAAGCGUGGGGAGCAAACAGG
rnacentral:rRNA from 1 species